rnacentral:tRNA from 1 species
GCCUCUGUAGCAGAAUCGGAAUAUGCGCCGGGCUCAGAACCCGGGCCGGGAAAACCGCUGCGGGUUCGACCCCCGCCAGAGGUA